UCGACUUAUUGUUGAAUGAACACGUUUCCAUUCAAUAGCAUUAUCAUCCUAAGACUGCAAAAAUUGAAAUGAAUCGUUUAGUUAUAUGUCUUUUAAAAAUUAAAUAUCAAAACUUUUAUCGUAAAAAGAUCAAUAAUGUACGGAGAUAAGAAAUGGUACCUCAAACAUAUCAAAUUAUAACAAAACUUCAUGAUAAACAAUAUUUGUUGUGGACUUGUCAGUUAAUUCACAAAGAAGUAUGCAUGAGCGGGAAGAACUUGUGCAUCUUGACAGAGCUACAUAUAGUUGACCGUGACUAAAUACUGGCGUACGUAAAUCUACCCCAACAAAUUUGACAAAUUGGCCCUGUGAUUUAUUCAUUGUCAUUGCAUAUGCUAACCUCACUGGGAAUUGUCUUCUUGUCAUUUUAAUACUUAACUCAAACAAAGGAGUCAAAGAAAUUCUUGGAAUGAAUACCAAGUCGCCAUGCUUAUCACCAGUUAAAAUCUUUUCUUCAGUACUAAAGCACCACACUUGACUAUGAUAAGUCUAGUACCAUUACAAAGGCCAUCUUUUGGUGCAAUGUUCCUUAGAAGCAUUAUUGGACAACCUUCUUUUAAAUCUAAUUUGAACGGUGGUAGUCUAGGGGGAUUGAGUGUGUUCAAAUACUCAUUCGGGUACCGAUGCAUAAUAGUCUGAUCCACGUCAUCAUCUUCAACCAUUUUGUCAACAACAGAGUAUGUAUGCAUUUCUCCCGAAAAAACCGCCAACGCAGCUAGGUUGAUAUCAUUGACAUCAUCAUUUCCAGCAGAUAGAAUUGUGCGCUCUUUUAAGAAUUCGGGAGUGACCUUACGUAGUACUUCUAUCUUUGGGCAGAUGGUCGAGAUCAGAUUAUCUACACUUUAAGUUAUUUUUAUUGAAUCUGGAAGUUAUAUAGAUUCUUGAGGGUUAGACCCAAUCUACAUAUUAAUGAAGGAUUAGUAAAUUAUCAAAUAUUCUCGACGAUAUAUAGAUGUCAGUAUGAAUAAAGAUACAAAUACUCAAACCUCAUUAAGAAAAGCCGAGAAAUCAAAUAAUAUAGAUUGGUCAUCGUGUAAGUGCAUGUUAACUUGUAAAGUCAAGACAUGUAUAUCUUUCAAAAAGAAAAGAACGUCGUAGUGAUGCUGCCACUAUAUGCUCGCGAAGACCUCUAGGUAUAGCAAGAAGAAUUUGCCUAAAAUCCCCCAAGAACAACAGUAAUAGCUCCAAAUGGUUGUGAGUUAUCAUGAAUAUCUUGUAAGGUCUGUUUAACUGCUUCAACACAAUGACGAUGCUACAUUGGAACCUCAUCUCAUAUAAUUAGUCUACCCUUCCGAAAUAAUUCUGAGUGUGAUGAUUGCUUCAUGAAUCCACAAACUGAAUUUUCUAAUACGUUAAGUGGAAUGCAGAAUGUUGAAUGUGCAGUACGUCCCCCAUGUAACAACCCAUAAGCAAUUCCGGAGGAUGCUACUGUAGUUACUAUAUCGCAUAAGGAACAACAUUUUUUUGGCAAUUAUAUUAUAGAGAAAAGUCUUUCCAGUUCCUGCGCCCCCACUCAAAAAGAAGGUUGUUCCUCUAUUUUCAUAAACAGAUGAAAUGAUUGCAUUAUAAGCCAUACACUGACCUUCAUUUAGUAGAUCAAUGUUUUGCUGGACAUUUAUUUGAUCGACUUCAAUAUGUAACUGCCUAUGCUCCCAUAUAUGUUGAUUGCCAAUGAUAAUUCUCCAAUUAACAUAUAGUAGUGGCAUUGGUGGGAAAUCUGAUAAGCUCUUCCCUGAUUCUUGAAGCAAAUGAUUAAUAAGGUAUAAACCAUAAUCACAAAUUUGAGCAUUAGUAGGAACAUAAAUGCCAUAGCAUGCACUUAUUUUGUGUGAUAAAUCAUCACAAAUAUGCAUAGAAAAUUGGUUCCACAACGCUUCUGGAUUUAAAAGAGAGCAUUGCGUCAAGAUAAUAGAAAACAAUCUUCUUAAUUGAGAUCAUGUUCUCAUCAUUGAUGCUUCUCUAAGACAUUGAAUCCACUCUUCAUCGUCUUCUAAAAGGCCUUUUGCAAUACAUGUUGCCUUAUAUGUGGGGUGUACAACAUUAUCAACUGUUUUUAAACAUUGAAAAGAUUGAGGUCCCUCUACAACCGUCAACAGAAGACGAAGAUAAAACCUUUCACCUUCAUUUGGACUGGUAAAAUACAUUCUUCUGAUUACAAAUCCCCUUUGUCUCUCUGUCCAGAGUUGUUCUUUCUUUUGCCAAACGAAAUGUUUUGGAAAUUUUUGGUAUGUGAGAGUUCGAGCUAAAUCAUUAGUAGACACUAAUACAAAAUCAUAAAAAGACAAUACUUAAAAGAUGACGUUUUUAUAAAAGACAUGUUUUUUUAUAACAUUUUUUAACAAAAUGUUAUAGAUACAUAUAAAAAAAUGUUAUGUAUUUAUAAGAGAAAUUUUUGAUUUUAAAUAGAUAACGUUUUAAAAAAAAAACGUUAUGUAUGUAAAAAACACGGAGCAAAAAAUAAAAACACGAAACUACAAAUUUGAAAUUAAAUCUAGGACAUAGUUCUUUAGAUCUACUUUCUCCUCUCUCCUAUCUCUGUACUUUCUCUCUCUACGAUGGUGCCUUGCUCUCCUACGAUCCAAACCUUCGGCUACCACCCACUUCUCUCUCCUUCUCGCCAACUUCUCCUCACCACUUCGCCGUCACUCACUCCGUAACCGUCUCCAUUUUUCUCAUCGGAAAGCCUAACACCCAAAGCCACCAUCUCCGCCUUCAAAGAUACAACCACAUCCACCUCUUUCCGCUCGAACGGAUGCCUACUCGCCGCCGGAUCCCACUCAGGUCUGUUUCAAGUCUUCGACGCCAAGUCCCGAUUACCCCUCAAGAAACUCCGUGGUCACUCCCGCCCUGUUCAUGUAGUUAAGUACCCUCGCCUCGAUAAGCUUCACCUCCUCUCCGGCGCUGACGAUGCCGUUGUCAAGUACUGGGACGUGGCGCUGGUGGUGCGAACCAGUUUAUGACGACAUCGUUGUAUGUUGGAGAUUUGGACUUCAAUGUGACUGACUCGCAGCUGUAUAAUCUGUUUAACCAAGUGGGUCAGGUUGUUUCGGUUAGGGUUUGUAGGGACUUGAGUACCGGUCGAUCUAUGGGCUAUGGUUAUGUCAACUAUAGCAAUUCGCAAGAUGGUCAGUUGAUUUUGUCUCAAAUCCCUCUAAUUUAUGUGUUUUUGUUAAUUUGAUGAUAAAUUGUUAUGUUCUGUUAUAUUAAUAUUGUUGUUGUCUAUGGAAAUGUGGAUGUUUUUUUUUCCUCUUUUUAACAAUUAAUAUACAUAAUUACAAUCCGGCUAUGCCAUAGGCUUACAAUUGGGAAUUGUGAAAUGUUUUGAAUUUGUAAUCAGUUGGGUGUUUGUUUUUGUAUGUAGGAUGAUAAAUGUUUUGUUUUCCUUUUUUGGAUUUUGUAGCUUUUGAUUUAGAACUAAGUUGCAUGGUGGGAGCCUAGUUAUGUCAGACCAGGAAAGGCUGCUUUGUGAAAUUGGAAAAGUACUUGAAUUAAGUCAUUAUUUAGUUUUCCUAGACCUGGUUACCUCUCUUUGCAUAAUGUUUGAAUUUUGUCUAAUAAAGUUUAUAUCUUGGGACAAGCUUUCACUAGUUUAAAUUUAUGUGUUUAGGUUCUUUUAUGCUGUUAAGUAUAUGUGAUCCUGUAAUUCUUUGUGCAUUGACAUGUCCAAUGGAAGAAUGAUUGAUUGGUUUUCAUAGGAAAAUGGCCUUACUACAUGGUUGCUGAUGCAGAGAAUUUUUGGUUUAACAGCCCAGUUUUGUUAAUGGAAAUAAGAUUUUAACCAUAUACCAUUAUAUGAUCAUAAAAUAAAAAAUAAAGAAGGCCUACUAAUUUGUUUAUACAUUUACGAAUUGUUAAAUUGUUUGUUGCAUAUCCCAAGUUCGCUCUCAUCAGGAUGGGUUCAGAUGCAAACCAUUCAUCAUAUGCAUCUUGUUGUUUUUGGACUUAGAGAUGCAGUCACUAUUCCAAAUUAUUUCACAACUGUUUAUAUAGUAACAUUUUUAGUUCAAUUUGCUUUCAGCGGCUAGGGCGAUGGAUGUUUUGAACUUUACCCCACUGAAUAGCAAGAUUAUUCGAGUUAUGUAUUCUCACCGGUACCCCAGUAUUCGGAAGAGCGGAGCGGCAAAUAUAUUUAUCAAGGUACUAAUUAAUCACUGACAGCCUUGUGUGUUUCAAUCUAUAAAAAUCACCAUCUCACUUAUGGAAUGCUUUGUGUCUAUCUGGGAUUCAUGUAAAAUGUAGAUUAGGACACUUUGCUUGUCAGAAUGGAUGUUGCUUCUUUCCGCUUUUAGUUUUCCCAUCUAUGCCAUUUCAACAAUUAUGUCUAUAGGUGUAUCCUUCACAAGUAGGUAGAUUCUACUCUAAUACUCGAUAAGAUUCAGGGUAUAAUUUCUCCUUUAUUGAGGAUUGCUGGAAGAUGAUAAACCGUAGCAGUAGUUUGAUCAACUGUUGGGUACUUCUUAGGAGUAUCUUUUAGUCUUCUUGGAUUUCUUUUCAAGAUGAGAAGUUUUGCAAUUUUAUUCAUUAGUUUUAGAACUAUCCUUAUCGUAUUGUUAUGUUUUGAUGCAUCUGAUUUAAAACCUUUUUGCAUGUUUCGGAACUGUGUGCAUAUGUCCAGGUGGUGUGCAUAUGCCGUGUUCAGAAGGAUGUAUGGCAUUAGGUAUAGUUUUUGGUAAAAUAGCAACUAUCAGUAACUGAACCUAAGCAGUCAAAAUGGCUUUAAUGUGUGCAUGUGUUUGAGCAGUCUAUACAUGCUGUACUUGGUAGCCAUUUGGUCUAAUAUUAGUUCGAGCAAGUCCUUGAAUUCUAAAUCUGAUGUUAUUUUACUAUGGAUAGAAAAUACUGUUACAGCUUGGAGAGCACUUAAAAAUGGUUCCACGAACAUGGAUGUCCUGGUAGCAUUGGGAACUUCAGCUUCUUACUUUUAUUCUGUCUGUGCUGCUAUAUGGUGCAGUAACUGGAUUUUGGUCACCUAGGUACUUUGCAACAAGUGCAAUGCUGAUAACAUUUGUACUGCUAGGGAAAUACUUGGAAACUCUUGCUAAAGGAAAAACAUCAGAUGCUAUAAAGAAGUUGGUGGAACUAGCACCAGCAAUAGCUUUUAUUCUUCUCAAAGACAAGGGUAUGCUACCUUUACAUAAUUUGAAGGUUUCAGAUGCAUUUUAUUUUUUUAGGAAAAUUGAGAUUCUUUUCUGUUUUCUUACACUUUAUGUCUUGAGUUUAUGUUUGAAUUAAAACCUUUUUGCAUGUUUCGGAACUGUGUGCAUGUGUCUAGGUGGUGUGCAUAUGCCGUGUUCAGAAGGAUGUAUGGCAUUAGGUAUAGUUUUUGGUAAAAUAGCAACUAUCAGCAACUGAACCCAAGCAGUCAAAAUGGCUUCAAUGUGUGCAUAUUGUUUGAGCAGUCUAUACGUGUUGUACUUGGUAGCCAUUUGGUCUAAUAUUAGUUCGAGCAAGUCCUUGAAUUCUAAAUCUGAUGGUAUUUUACUAUGGAUAGCAAAUACUGUUAUUUGUGGUACAUGACAGAGUGAGUGUUAUUACCUCUACAUGGCUCUCUCCUUUUUCCAUGCAUUAUGAUAAAGUUUGAUUUACUUUCCUUUUUGUAAUGUUCAUUUCCUUUUUUUCUUUACCAGUUUCAGGAUUGACUCUGAUGAAGCAUUGUUGAGAAGUGGAAAGUGACCUGUUUUAACAGUUCUUUCUGCUGGCCAAGCUUUGCAUGUUUUCAUCAACGGUCAACUAACAGGUAUGCAGCUGGUUUAGAACAUUAAGGUUGUAUUUGAUGAACUUGUAAUAAUUUCAUUUAGGAUGACACUCAAUAUUAAUGCUACUCCAGUAACUUAUUCUACUCCAGUAAAGGGAAUUAGUUGACAGACAGUAUGACAUUGAAACAUUUGCAGCUAAUUAGAGCCAGACACUUGAUUUAUCAUAUUUUCUCAAAGUUUCAGAUAUUGGACAAGUUUGGGGUUGGGGUUGGUAUUAUGGAGGUGAAGGACAGCUUGGUUUGGGAUCCCGGAUACGUAUGGUGUCAUCUCUUCAUCCUGUACCUUGCAUUGAAUCGUCUUCAUUAGGAAAAGAGAGAUCUUCAGUCAUAUCUCGAGGAAACAUGAGUUCUGAGGGAGAGGGUUUUAGAGUUCCUGGAAGCUACGUGAUAGGAAUUGCUUAUGGAGGACGGCACAGUGCAGUAAUUACAGGUAAGCAUUCUGUGAUUUGUCUUUAAAUGACUGGGAAAUAAAAUAAUUAGCUGAUUAUCUAAUUAAUGUAAAGCUAUAUAUUUAAUAAAGCUAUAAAAAUAUAUUUUGCCAGCAUGAUGAUAUAUGCUCUUCUUCUUUUUUUGGGUGCAUAUUUAUAAUUGGUUGAGUGUGUGAUAAAUCUAAGAUGUAUUCAGUUGUGCACCCUUAUUUGGUUUCUUCAGUUGUGUUACAUAUUAAUUACCAUAUCCUUUGAUCAUAGUGGAUUUUUGCAUCCACAGAUGCUGGAGCAUUGCUUGCAUUUGGCUGGGGACUUUAUGGACAGGUGAGUUCAUUAUUUAAUUUGUUGUCAAAUGUAUAUAUACAUACUAAUUUUAUGUUUUUUUUUUCUGGCUAUGAUUGCAGUAACUAUUAUGGUAAACAAAAAUCUAUUAUUUGUUUUUUUGGACAGAUUCAUAAUUUAUCUUCACGUCUCUUUACUUUUGACAGGAACUGUCUACGGAAGUAUAGAAAACCCAAAAAUAACUCUUGGUUGUGGUGUAUAUAAGAGCUGGGAUUAACAAGAUUUCACUUUUAAGCAUUUGAUUAUAUAGUUGAUUUCUUGUAUUGGCUGAGGCACCUGUUCCAGCAGCUCUAGGAGAAACCAUGGACAUCAUGACAACAAAUAAAAUACAAUGGUAAACGUAUGGUAUUAUUGGGAUGUAUUUUGAAUGGUUGAUACAUUUUGGCUUGAAAUGAUAAUUUAGAGUUUUUUUAGCUAUAUAUCAUGGCAUUAGCAGUCCUACAAACAUUGCAGGUGCACCAUUGUGUAUGUAAUUUCAAAUAUAGGUGAACUAAAAACAGUUAUUAUAUGCAUGAAUUACAAUAUUUUUAAGUUUUUAUACAACGUUUUAAAAAUGUUGUAUAAAUUUGUCUAAAUAGAUGACACCUUCUAAACGUUGUAUAAAUGAGUGUAUAUGUUGUCUGAUGUAUCAAACUACGACAUUUUAAGACAAAACGUUGUGGAAUCAUACCAUCUACAACGUUUUCAAGCAUUCAAUGAAUUCUGAAAAAUAAAUAUACAACGUUUUUUAAGAAAAAAAUGUUGUAAAUGUGACAAACCACAACGUUUUAAAAACGUUGUAUAAAGGGUGUCAAAUAGAUGACACCCUUAACCACGAUGUUUCUGGGAUACAAACCACAAUGUUUUUUACGCGUUAUCUAUUUACUGUUUUGUAGUAGUGAGAGGAGCAUGCAAAAAAUCCUGUUAGAGUUGUCUGCUGAUCCUUUGCUCUGCUCUGUUCAAUAUUGCAGCUAUUGGUUCAGAAAGGUUAUAGCAGACGUGAUGUUUUCCCUCUAGGUGAACUGCCAGACGUAUAACCGGAGGGAACUCUUGAUGCGUAGGAUAUCUAAAUAUCCAUCAUGAUGCCUUUGUAGGUCCAAUGUACCUUGAGUUAAUAUACUGCUUAAUCUCAUCUACGGCUCCCAAUACCACAGUUGUAUGAUCGUAACCCUUGUAGAUGUAUUUAUUGAUAUACUUUACGCACCUUAAUCCUGCACAAACUUCCACAUUUAUAUGGCAACUAAACAAUUUAGAGAGGUAUGAAUUAUAUGGUACAACGUCUAUUACCAACUUUAUGUCGAGACCUUAGAGACUGCUUUCGACCGUCAUUGCGCCUUUGAUAUAUCGGAUACCCAUCUUCGCCCAUUGUAGUUUCUUCUGCCCAAUAUUUAGGAUAUCUCUUAGUGUAUUUACCAUCUUCCAUACAUGGUGAAUUAAGAUUUUGAACACUACAUGGUCCAUGUACCAUGCAAGUUUUAAUUGUUUCAUAUAGAAGUGGAUCAUAAAUUGGAUCGGGGAAUUCGGCACAAAUAACUCGAUUUACUUGUUCACGUGUUAGCAUUUUAUCAGGCCCUUGAAGAAAUAUUAGCAAGUGCAUGUGCGGCAACCCACACUUUUGGAAUUCAAUCAUGAAAACAUGUCCCACCUUUGCACCAAAUAUUUUCUUCUUAUCAAUCUUCAUCAUCAAAGCUUGUCGCUUCAACUCAAAUACGCGGGCCACCAAGUCUAGGCGGUCAAUUAACGUUUGAUGUGGUAACAGUGCAUCUUUUAUCUUAGGCCAAUUCAGAUUUGCCGUCAUAGUUAAGAAAAUAUCAGGGUGUUGGUUAUACCGAGUUAUGACCAUAGAAUCUUGGAAGAUUUCAAACAUUUGCCUUGGACUCCCAGAAAAAGAAGAAGGCAAAACUACUCUUUUACCAACUUGAUUAGCCUCUAACCCAUCAGGAACUACGUCAACCAGAUCUUAGUAUAGAUCAGAUUGUAAUUUUUGUUAGUUGAGCCUAUAAUAUGUUAAUUGAUUCUGCUCUGUUGCCAUCCAUGCAUCUACAAUAAACUCUUGAAAUAAUCUUCCGCCCCUCAAGAUAGUUGAAUACUCAGUAGGUCUUUCAAACAAACGAUAUCCAUAAUAUUGCAAUUGCGUAAGUCUUUUUGAUGAAGCUUUACCUUGAUUGACAUCCCACUGCUUAAAAUUUGGUUCCCAUCCAAGCUCACCAUACGGAAACAACAAUACGUAAUGUAGUGGUAAAUAAGCUAGAUGGCAUUCAUUUAUCUUCAUCAACUGGUCACUCCCUCUUAACCGUACAAUAAU
rnacentral:lncRNA from 1 species